rnacentral:rRNA from 1 species
GCCCUGUGACCACAAAGUUUAACGGCCGCGGUAUCCUGACCGUGCGAAGGUAGCGUAAUCACUUGUCUUUUAAAUGAAGACCUGUAUGAAUGGCAUAACGAGGGUUUAACUGUCUCCUUCCCCCAGUCAAUGAAAUUGAUCUGCCCGUGCAGAAGCGGACAUAAAAACAUAAGACGAGAAGACCCUAUGGAGCUUUAGGCCAAGGAACAAGCAUGUUAAUAGACUAUACAAAACCAAAGAGACAAAAAAGUCACAAUAAACCAAAUGUAAAAUNAACCAAGUGCCUUCGGUUGGGGCGACCACGGGGAAAAGACAAACCCCCACAUGGAAUGGAGAUAACCCUCCUAAACUAAGAAGUACACUUCUAAAGUNACAGAAUUUCUGACCAAAAAUGACCCAAGGAUAAUGGUGUCCUGAUCAAUGAACCAAGUUNCCCUAGGGAUAACAGCGCAAUCCUUUCCCAAGAGCCCAUAUCGACGAAAGGGUUUACGACCUCGAUGUUGGAUCAGGACAUCCUAAUGGUGCAGCCGCUAUUAAGGGUUCGUUUGUUCAACG